AGAGUUUGAUCCUGGCUCAGGACAAACGCUGGCGGCGUGCUUAACACAUGCAAGUCGAACGGAAAGGCCCUUCGGGGUACUCGAGUGGCGAACGGGUGAGUAACACGUGGGUGAUCUGCCCUGCACUUUGGGAUAAGCCUGGGAAACUGGGUCUAAUACCGAAUAUGACCACGCUCUUCAUGGGGUGUGGUGGAAAGCUUUUGCGGUGCGGGAUGGGCCCGCGGCCUAUCAGCUUGUUGGUGGGGUAAUGGCCUACCAAGGCGACGACGGGUAGCCGGCCUGAGAGGGUGACCGGCCACACUGGGACUGAGAUACGGCCCAGACUCCUACGGGAGGCAGCAGUGGGGAAUAUUGCACAAUGGGCGCAAGCCUGAUGCAGCGACGCCGCGUGAGGGAUGACGGCCUUCGGGUUGUAAACCUCUUUCACCAGGGACGAAGCGCAAGUGACGGUACCUGGAGAAGAAGCACCGGCCAACUACGUGCCAGCAGCCGCGGUAAUACGUAGGGUGCGAGCGUUGUCCGGAAUUACUGGGCGUAAAGAGCUCGUAGGUGGUUUGUCGCGUUGUUCGUGAAAACUCACAGCUUAACUGUGGGCGUGCGGGCGAUACGGGCAGACUAGAGUACUGCAGGGGAGACUGGAAUUCCUGGUGUAGCGGUGGAAUGCGCAGAUAUCAGGAGGAACACCGGUGGCGAAGGCGGGUCUCUGGGCAGUAACUGACGCUGAGGAGCGAAAGCGUGGGGAGCGAACAGGAUUAGAUACCCUGGUAGUCCAA
rnacentral:rRNA from 1 species